CAAAAGCCUGGUCCUGACUUUAACAUCAGUUGUAGCCCAAUUUACACAUGCAAGUCCCCGCCCCCCUGUGAGAAUGCCCUUUACCUCCGAGAGGAAAAAAGGAGCGGGCAUCAGGCACACAAUUGUAGCCCAAAACGCCUUGCUUAGCCACACCCCCAAGGGAACUCAGCAGUGAUAGACAUUAAGCAAUAAGCGAAAGCUCGACUUAGUUAGGGUUAAGAGGGCCGGUAAAACUCGUGCCAGCCACCGCGGUUAUACGAGAGGCCCAAAUUGAUGCAAUACGGCGUAGAGUGUGAUUAGAGACAAAAACAAACUAAAGCCAAACACCCCCUAUACUGUCAUACGCCAUGGGGAGUAAGAAGCCCAACAACGAAAGUGGCUUUAAACAUCUUGAACUCACGACAGCUAAGGCACAAACUGGGAUUAGAUACCCCACUAUGCUUAGCCUUAAACCAAGGCGAUAGACCUACAAACCUCGCCCGCCAGGGGACUACGAGCAAUAGCUUAAAACCCAAAGGACUUGGCGGUGCCUCAAACCCACCUAGAGGAGCCUGUCCUAUAACCGAUAAUCCCCGUUAAACCUCACCCCUCCUUGUCAAUUCCGCCUAUAUACCGCCGUCGCCAGUUUACCUUAUGAAAGAACAGCAGUAAGCAAAACGGGCAACACCCCACACGUCAGGUCGAGGUGUAGCGAAUGGAGGGGGAAGAGAUGGGCUACAUUUUCUGGUGCAGAAUACCACGAAAAGUGCAAUGAAAUGUGCAUAAAUGAAGGUGGAUUUAGCAGUAAAAGGGAAAAAGAGAGUCCCUUUGAAACCGGCUCUGAGGCGCGUACACACCGCCCGUCACUCUCCUCGAACAAUAACCAACAAUACAUAAAACCUAGAAAAAAAGAGAGGAGGCAAGUCGUAACAUGGUAAGUGUACCGGAAGGUGCGCUUGGAAUAAUU
rnacentral:ncRNA from 1 species